rnacentral:lncRNA from 1 species
AGAAGAAGAAGAAAGCGAAGCAGAUGAGCGUCAUGGCGUUCUUGAGAGGAACUAUCAAGAGAAGCAGCAAGGCCAAAGUCGAGAGAGCUCUCAAGAGGAUGAUGAGACGCAUCGUGACCAAAGUGAAGCGCAAGCGCGAUCGAAUGAAGGCGGACAAAGAUGUGGACAUGGUGAAGAUCCGGAGGGGAUUUAAGCGAGGGAGGAGGAAGAAGAAGUUCUACACGGUGAAGAAGAUUCGGGGGCGUAACUUUGGAUUAAAAUCCUUGCUCAAGCAGUGGAAGUGGGUUUUCAUCUUCUCGUAAGAGAUUAGAACUUGCAAGGUAAGGUUUUCUCUGUGCUCUUUUAUCUCUAGAGUUCAUUGUCUACGAUGCAGUUUGGAACUUCUUGGAGCGCACCCAGGGAAAAACCUGGCUUGCUUUUAGUGCUAUAAACUGUUGAUGUUCUUCUUUUC